rnacentral:rRNA from 1 species
UGGCCCUACGGGGGGCAGCAGUAGGGAAUUUUCGUCAAUGGGCGCAAGCCUGAACGAGCAAUGCCGCGUGAACGAGGAAGGUCUUCGGAUCGUAAAGUUCUGUUGAAGGGGAAAAAGAGCGGAGAGAGGAAAUGGUCUCCGAUUGAUAUUACCCUUCGAGGAAGUCACGGCUAACUACGUGCCAGCAGCCGCGGUAAUACGUAGGGGGCAAGCGUUAUCCGGAUUUACUGGGUGUAAAGGGAGCGUAGGUGGCAUGGUAAGCCAGAAGUGAAAACCCGGGGCUCAACCCCGCGGAUUGCUUUUGG